CUAUGUCUCUCUCUUCAAAGAACCAAAUCAUCGAUUGCACUACUAGAUAAAUACAAUAAAUCAUCUUACAUUUUCCAAAGGUGAGUUGCCUUGAAUACACAGAUUCUCUUUGAGAUUAAUAUAACAUCAUAUCAAAUAGGCAACACCGAAAAGGGCACCCACAAAAUAUUAAUAAAAAACUAAUGUACAAAACUCCAAAGACUAGUUUUUCUCAAUCUCCUCCAAAUUACAAUUACAACGGGAGGACCUGAGUGACACAAAACAAAUUGUAAGACUCUAGGAACCUAACAAGAGACAUGUUCAUUUUUUCAACGCCAAGUCCUUUUUUUAUUGAUCACAAGGAAUAACAACAGAAAAGACACUCUUGUUGCACGAUACCAGACUCUGAAAACAAACAUCCAUAGAUCACUUGUAUAUAUACAGAUAGUACUCUAACAGCAUGAUUAGCCCCUCUUUCCAAACAAAAAUUAGUCACCAGCUAUUUGACCUUCAUUGACUUUUAGUCCUCUACCAUCUUUUCUCUGCUUCUGUAUUAGUUUUCUCUCUUUUCUUUUAUUUUUUCUUUUGUGCAAAAAUGGAUUAUGCCACAGCAGAGAUGCUGCAGCUGCUCCUAUCUCUGUUAAGACAGUCAAAACCUUCUAUCCUCACAGCAGCUGGAGUCUGACCAAAUUUCAUUGGAACACAGCCUCGAGCUGAGGAAGAGGAUGCCUCGGUAAAUGGACUAAAAUUCCCAUUACCAAAUUGCUCAUCUUGAAUUACAGGAUUCGAGGCCCUACUUGGAGGAGAUCCACAGAAAAACGGUGGUGAUGAUGCUACCACUUGCCCUCCUGAUCUUGUCAGGUAGCAGCUUUCCUGACAAAAACAAAUCAAAGAAUAAGUCUUUGGUUAGAUUACUUCAUUUCAAUCAAGUCCCAGAUAUUGAUCACAAGGAUACCAUCAUACAUAAGUCCUCAUCAUAAAUCAUUAUCACUACAAAUUGAUUCAAUGCUUAUUUAUUUGGACUCAAUUCGUUACACUUGCUCACAUUCCAAUCAAAUGUUUGUGGUCCAAAUUAACUUUUACAAACAUCCCAAAUGACAUUCAAUAGGUUAAAAUAAAAAUCAGUUUUAUUUAACUGUAAAAUAAAGGUAACUUUGAAGUAUUACAAGAAGUCAACUUUAAUAAUACAAGUUUUUUUUUUUGCUCUCUUUAUGAGGGAAAAACUUGCUCUACAGAAAUCAAAACUGUAGUAACCUUUGAUAGUAAAUUGUCCCCCCCAGAAAUUGAUUUGAGGCGAGAAAACAUCUUUUUAUCAUAUGAUAACAGCUGUUUCUCAGAGAAAUACUUGUAAAAGGAAAAAAUUGUUAUCAUUUUUUCCUCAAAAAAAAUAGGCAAAUUUCAUACCAUUUCUGUACUCUAAUUUGUGUUUCCUAGUACAUAACAAAAUAACAAAAGAGUAACAUAGAAAAGAACCUUGGGAAGAAUGAUGUCCAAAAGCUCUGCCCCGACUCCUGAAUCUUCCACCUCAGAUUGAUAGCUGCAUUUUUUUAACAACAAAAAAAAAAGUCAGAAUUUUUAUGACAAAAUUGGCUUCAAACCACAAAUAAGAAUGGCUAAAAAGGAAAAGGAAGAGAGAAUUACCUGAUGGGGUGCCUAAAGGGUCUGAUGUGUGUGUUGAUGGAAGAGUGGUUCAUGAGACCUACUCGCCGAGGUUUGGGGCAAAUCACUGAUUCCAUCCUCAUCUCCUCACAGCUUGUGAAGGUGUUCUUCUCUUGGUAUCCAUAAUAGCUGUAGCUAUUCAUCUUUUCACAGAUCUUGACAAGGAAC
rnacentral:lncRNA from 1 species